rnacentral:ncRNA from 1 species
UGGGGAGUAUGGUUUCAAUAAUUAAAUUGAAAGGAAUUGAUGGGGUUUCACACAAGAAAAGGAACACGUGGUUCAAGUCAAUUCAAAGAAAAUAAUCUUACUAGGGCUUGAAAUUCCAUGAAUCCUCAAUAAAUAGAGGAAUUACUUUAGGAACACAAACAUAGGUGGUGCAUUAUUUUCAUCAACUCAUGAUGUAAGGUGUUGGGUUUGGUCCCACAAUGAAUGAAACCUUCACAUUUAGUUACAAGCAUUGAGUUUGGAAACCUAAUAAAAUUGACAACAAUAAGCUAGAGGAAGGUGAGGAUGAUGUUAAGUCAUCAUGCCCCUUAUGCCUUAGGAAACAUAUGCUUCAAUGUCUAAGACAAAGUUUCACAACCCCGUGAGGUUAAGCUAACCUUAAAAACCUAACCUCAAUUCAGAUUGCAUGUUGCAACUCACAUGAUGAAGAUGGAAUCACUAGUCAUUGUCGAUUAGCCACAUGAUAAUGAAUAAUUUCUCAGGCCUUGUACACAUUACCCAUCACACCAUAGGAUUUGGCCAUGCCCCAAGUCAUUACCUUAAAUACAAGGAGGGGGAUGCUGAAAUUUGGGCUAGUGGUUGGAGUGAAGUCAUAACAAGAUAUCCAUACUAGAAGGUGUGACUA